rnacentral:lncRNA from 1 species
AGUUCUGUGAAAAGAGGCACUAGCGCUCAGCCACGCAAGGCAGGAAAACAGAGGAAGUUUUCGCAUUCUGACUGCAGCCUGAGUUCCCCGGAGCAAGGCUGCUUCUCUCCACCCACUCCUCACCAAGAACUCCUGAACUUGAGAGUGGACGACUUCAAAGCUAGCUCUCACAGACUCACCUGGAAAAGAGUUCAGCUGCGCGUUCAUUGAACCGAGAGGCCAGAUCACCUAUGUGAGGCGGUGGGAACCAUAUGGAGAUUUAUAUUAGAACUUCAGCAAAGUGCACAGCUGCAGCCGGCAGAAGCCAGCUCUCGGGCUGACAGGCAAAUGAACCAGAUCGUGGACGGGGCCUCUGGGUGGCAGCUCCGGCCUUUUGGUUGUUGGACAACUAUAGUCAGAACUGAAAUGGAACAGGGGCAGGAGAAAUAACACACUUUUACUCCACGCAACUGUUGCUUUCACAUGAUCUUCAGGAAUGUAACUGGGAUAAUUGUCCAAAUUGAAUCCCAUACCCUGUCAUGGUACUGAUUAUUAAGGUGACUAUAUGAAAGGAUCACUCCAAAAUAACACAUACCAGAAUAGGAGUCCUGUCUUAACUGAGCAAUAUACACUAUGGAGAGAUCCUUCAAAACCCGUCGGGACGAAUAACAGAUGAAUUCAUAAAACUGUUCAUCUCUGUUAUCCUGAAUGGUCACUCAGACAACAUUUUACUCAACUAUAAAGGGGAACACUUAAAGUGCAUAUGAGAAGAGAAGAGAAUGACCACAGGAGAAAAUCAUCUCAGCUUUCUCCACCCAGGGCAAAGGCAACAACAACAAACGUCCUAUACUCAAGCCGACUGACCUCAUCUCGUUCCACCCCACCUCAUCCAAUCAGAAAUCUCACACGCUCCAGGCAAGAGCUCAAGUCAGUCACCGAUAGGCUGACAGAUCCGGAUCACGAGCAAUACGCAUGCUUUUUUACUGCGCAUGCUCAGGCAAGGCAGUAAACAUGCCACGAUUUCCUAACCAGAAUCUGUAAGAGAGAUUCCAAGAACUUGGUAAGAGAUAGGAACACAGUGGGGCCUAAACAGAGGACAGUUUCUGUAAUCACUUGUAAUAUCUAUAAUGUUAUACUAGAUGAAUGGAAAUAUGAGCAUUGUUGAAAGGUGUAAUGUUUCAAAGUUUUACAAAUGAAUUUUAUAUUAAAAUAUAAGCUAUAUUGACAAAAUAUGUGAUUAUACUGUAUAUGAAGAGUAAAAUAAAACAAAAGGUACAACAACAUUUUUGUUUUAAGUGGGAUAGAAAGGUGUGUGGUUCAUGCCUCAGAUGGCUAUACAAAUACAAAAAAUUUAGACACCUCUCACAGAAAUAUAAAUGGAGCUAUAAAUAAAUAUGAAAUACUAAAAAAAAUGGAUAGCUAGCAAAUCAUUGGUGAACUAAAUAGCUUUGAAAAGGAAAAACUGGUAAGAAAUGUCUGUGAGACUUGUACCUUAUAAAUAGAAACUAUAUUUUUCAAGAGUGUACUGUUCACUCUCAAAAUAUGCCAAAAUAAAACUAAACCCAGAAAUUGCA